CAUGCAAGUCGAACGGAAACCUUCGGGUUUUAGUGGCGAACGGGCGAGUAACACGUAAGCAACCUACCCUAAAGACGAGGAUAACCAUUGGAAACAGUGGCUAAGACUGGAUAGGAAGAUAAAAGGCAUCUUGUAUCUUUUAAAAGACCUAGUUAAUAGGUAUGCUUUAGGAGGGGCUUGCGCCAUAUUAGUUAGUUGGUAGGGUAAUGGCCUACCAAGACGAUGAUGUGUAGCUGGACUGAGAGGUUGAACAGCCACAUUGGGACUGAGACACGGCCCAAACUCCUACGGGAGGCAGCAGUAGGGAAUUUUCGGCAAUGGAGGAAACUCUGACCGAGCAACGCCGCGUGAAUGACGAAGUACUUCGGUAUGUAAAGUUCUUUUAUCGAGGAAGAAAAGCAAAUGGCGAACCAUUUGUUUGCCGGUACUUGAUGAAUAAGCCCCGGCUAAUUAUGUGCCAGCAGCCGCGGUAAGACAUAAGGGGCAAGUGUUAUCCGGAAUUAUUGGGCGUAAAGGGUGCGUAGGCGGUCUAGUAAGUCAGUGGUGUAAUGGCAACGCUUAACGUUGUCCGGCUAUUGAAACUGCUAAACUUGAGUUAGAUAGAGGCGAGUGGAAUUCCAUGUGUAGCGGUAAAAUGCGUAAAUAUAUGGAGGAACACCAGAGGCGUAGGCGGCUCGCUGGGUCUUAACUGACGCUGAGGCACGAAAGCGUGGGGAGCAAACAGGAUUAGAUACCCUGGUAGUCCACGCCGUAAACGAUGAGUACUAAGUGUCGGGUUAAACCGGUACUGAAGUUAACACAUUAAGUACUCCGCCUGAGUAGUACGUACGCAAGUAUGAAACUUAAAGGAAUUGACGGGACUCCGCACAAGCGGUGGAUCAUGUUGUUUAAUUCGAAGAUACCCGAAAAACCUUACCAGGUCUUGACAUGUUUUUGCAAAAUGAUAGUAAUAUCGUGGAGGUUACCAGAAACACAGGUGGUGCAUGGUUGUCGUCAGCUCGUGUCGUGAGAUGUUAGGUUAAGUCCUAAAACGAGCGAAACCCUUAUCGUUAGUUGCCAGCACGUUAUGGUGGGGACUUUAACGAGACUGCCAAUGAUAAAUUGGAGGAAGGUGAGGAUCACGUCAAAUCAGCAUGCCCCUUAUGACCUGGGCUACAAACGUGAUACAAUGGCUGUUACAAAGGGUAGCUGAAACGCAAGUUCUUGGCCAAUCCCCAAAAACAGUUCCAGUCCGGAUUGAAGUCUGCAACUCGACUUCAUGAAGUUGGAAUCGCUAGUAAUCGCGAAUCAGCAUGUCGCGGUGAAUACGUUCUCGGGGUUUGUACACACCGCCCGUCAAACCACGAAAGUUGGCAAUACCCCAAAACGGUAGCCUAACUCGUUUAUUCGAGAGGGCGCCGUCUAAGGUAGGGUCGAUGAUUGGGGUUAAG
rnacentral:rRNA from 1 species